CCCAUGGAUGAUGAUGAUGUCAUCAUCCACACCCUUAAUGGUCUUGAAAAGGAAUGUAAAGAAGUCACUACUGCCAUUCACUCAUGAAAAUCCGAUUGGUUUUGAGGAGUUACAUGAUCUCUUUAUUAUUUUCCAAA
rfam:Glycine max cultivar Williams 82 chromosome 14, whole genome shotgun sequence.